rnacentral:rRNA from 1 species
UCUACGGUGUGCAGCAGUGGGGAAUAUUGGACAAUGGGCGAAAGCCUGAUCCAGCCAUGCCGCGUGUGUGAAGAAGGCCUUCGGGUUGUAAAGCACUUUCAGUGGGGAAGAAAGCCUUGGGGCUAAUACCCUCGAGGAAGGACAUCACCCACAGAAGAAGCACCGGCUAACUCCGUGCCAGCAGCCGCGGUAAUACGGAGGGUGCGAGCGUUAAUCGGAAUUACUGGGCGUAAAGCGCGCGUAGGCGGUCUGAUAAGCCGGUUGUGAAAGCCCCGGGCUCAACCUGGGAACGGCAUCCGGAACUGUCAGGCUAGAGUGCAGGAGAGGAAGCUAGAAUUCCCGGUGUAGCGGUGACAUGCGUAGGGAUCGGGAGGAAUACCAGUGGCGAAGGCGGCCUUCUGGACUGACACUGACGCUGAGGUGCGAAAGCGUGGGUAGCAAACAGGAUUAGAUACCCGAGUAGU